UACAAUGGCAUAUACAAAGAGAAGCGACCUCGCGAGAGCAAGCGGACCUCAUAAAGUAUGUCGUAGUCCGGAUUGGAGUCUGCAACUCGACUCCAUGAAGUCGGAAUCGCUAGUAAUCGUGGAUCAGAAUGCCACGGUGAAUACGUUCCCGGGCCUUGUACACACCGCCCGUCACACCAUGGGAGUGGGUUGCAAAAGAAGUAGGUAGCUUAACCUUCGGGAGGGCGCUUACCACUUUGUGAUUCAUGACUGGGG
rnacentral:rRNA from 1 species